GAUUUCCCUCCCUUGAAUGUAAGUCAGACUUCAUGACUUGCCUCUAACGAAUAGGAUGUGGCAGAAAAGAUGCCAUAUGACUUCUGAGGCUAGAUCAUUAAGAAGGUAGCUUCUGUUGACUCUUUCUCUUUUGAUUUUUGAUUGCUUAUGUCAGAGAAAGCCCAUUUCCAUGCUAUGGAGGGCACUCAUACAACCUAUGAAGAGGCCCCUGUGAGGAGGAACUGAGGCCUUCACCACCAACCAGCCACGACUUUCCAGCCAUGUAAAUGAAUCACCUGGAAUGAAAAUUUUCUUGCCAGUCAAGCCUUCAAAUGACUACAGCCCCAGCCAACAUCUUAACUGAAACUCCAUGAGAAAUUGCAAGAUAAAAUUGCCCAGCAAGCAUGCUCCGGAAUUUCAGACCCACAGAAACUGUUGGUGGUCUCUAACUCCUGCGCUCAAGCAAUCCUUCCGCCUCAACCUCCCAAAGUGCUGGAAUCACAGGUAUGAGCCACCAUGCCCAGCUAUGAUCUCCUAUGCUGUUUUGUCAUCUUGUUAUAUACAUUUUGACUGUUCAAUAUGUUUAUUUGCUUAUUUUUGA
rnacentral:lncRNA from 1 species